GGUGCGACCGGAUGAUGGUCCUCAACGACCGUUUUAAUUUAUACUGGUCGGUGGGACUUUCGUCCGUUUGUAAC
rnacentral:pre_miRNA from 1 species